UGGUCAAUAAACUGUUCCCAGAGUCACCAGGUGGCAAACAGCCAUCCAGCCUGAUUGCCAGGAUGAUUGCCCUAGGUGGGACUCUGCACGUGUGUCCUCAUACCACAGCUGCUGACUCAUUAGCGUGAGUGCUGUACCCACAACCAAGCUGUCCUGUCUUCUCACCUCCACAGGCAUGCUGUGUCACACACACACACACACACACACACACACACACACAAGAAUGUACUGGUGCACAUGUGUACACACACACAAAUUGUUUAAAUGCAAAAAACCCAACCUUAAUAUAGACUUAAACGUGCUCAGAAAAGAAGUACAUACACCUAAGUGUGGGUCUGUGCUCCCUAAGAGAUAUAGGAGAAAGUAAGACAUAGCACAUGGAGAGAGAGAGGUAUAAUUGACCAUCUCAGCAUUAGCCAUAUGUACCAUUCUGGUGGCUCUCAAGUUACAUCUUAAAAGAUUUCUAAGAAACUGGUUUUCUAUGCCUUGAUAGUGAGGGGUUCCAGAGAUGUCCUGGUGGGAACCACAAUUCAAUAAGGUGAAUUUUGAUUGCACAAUGGGGUUAGUACACAUCUUCCUGCAAGCGGGUUUUCUGGUGAGAUGCUUAGAAAAUUGCAGGUUUACAACUGGGAAGGCAGAAAGGCAGUAAGCAGUUGAUGCUAGAAUUCUUGCUUUUCUCCUGGCAUUCUUGGGUCAGGGACUCAUUUCUUUUGUCCUCUGAAAUUUUUCUACCUCAGUCUUAUUUGUGAGAUUCCCAGAAAAUGUCUGGGAGAGGAGUGAGGCCAUACCUGAAGUCAUACAUACAGGGCGUUAAUCUUGGUUCAUUGUUAUUUUAGCACUCUCAUUUGAAAAUAUUUCUACAUAAAAUAUUGCCCCUAGGUCCAGGAACCUUCAAAGUAAAUGUUCAUCGUGCUGGAAUUCUUGAUUCUCAGCUGGCCACAAGCAUUAGCUAGCCUGCAACGAGGGGCUCCCCAUUCCCAUCUCCCCGUGACUUCCCUUUCUAUCCUGCCUCAACACUAACUUCAGAGUUUGUCCAGAGUCCCAAGAGUGCCCUCUCUUCAGAUGGCAGGCCCAAGGUCUAGGCAGGCUCCCUAACUAUCUGGAGUUCACAUAAUCUCUUCAUGGUUUUGAUAAUUCACUAGAACAGGUUAUGGCACUCAGGAGACACCCGUGGUCAGCAGUUAGCUGUAGAGCAUUGUUAGAUUUCAUGGGGCAUGUGGGCUUAAAGAAAGACAGAAAGGGCAGGAAGAAAGCACCGUCCAACUUUAUAUACUCGGGACCAUGUUCAAGGUAAGGAACAUCUGGUCACCCCUGGGUGUGGAUAAAAAAUGCCUAUAAAAGAAGGUGAGACCCCUUAUAGGGGAGGAAACUACUACCAUACCAUUUUCCCUCCUUUCCAGAGUAUUUUGGUCUGGCUACAAGGGAAGUUUGGAAGUGUAGUCUCUUAAGAAGAAACUAGCCAGCAUAAGAACCUGGAAUAGACUUGCCUGGCAGGUGGUGUGUGUGUGUGUGUGUGUGUGUGUGUGUGUGUGUGUGUAGGGUGGUACAGAACUUCCAUGGCUUUCACACCUUCUCUGGACACACCAUCUCACUAGAUCUCCUCUACAACCCUAUCUCUAGUCCUUUCCCACUGUGGAGGUUAGGGUGGGGCUAAAGUCUCUGACUCUUGAAGGAUUCGUUCAGUCUGUUCUGGUGACCAGUCCUUCUGGGAAGCUAAACAGGGCCCUAUAUUGAGUCAUCUCAUUAGCAUGAACUCUGGUGACAUUUUUUUUAAAAAGUCAUUAUGCAUAACAAAGCAUUUCUUAUCACACAGGAAAUCCCAAGGUGCCAGCAACCUGGAGACAAAGACCCGAUAAGGUUUUUAUUAUGCCAUACAGCUGGACCCAAUGGAAGCCAAAGUACUGCCCUCAACCUUAAUUCGAGAAGCUUCUCUCUGUAGUGGUCGGCAGUUAACUGGUCAAAGUGCUGAGAGUAUAUGUCUACUGAAGGCUUAUUCCUAAAUGGGACAUCUAUAUCAAACACCUUCCCACCACCAUGAGACUCGGGGAACAUUGAAGAAGGGUGGAAAGAAGGUAAGAGCCAGAGGAUGAGGAAGAUGGCUAUGAAAAGCUGUCUUUGGGACACAAUGUAGCCACUAUACCCAUGAACUCACUGCAGAAUCGGUUAGCUGCACAAGAUCUGGACAAGAUCAAGCCAACAAGAUCACUCACCAUUCCAACUCCAAUGCUAAUGGGAUUUGGUGGGUUGUUAAAAAGAAAGGAAAGACAUACAGACAGGAGAGUGACAUGUUGGGUGCUCCUGGGGGAGUGGGAAUGGGGAGUCAGGGAUGCACAAAGAUACAUUGUUUAUACCUAUGCAAUUAUCAAAGAAUAAGUAAAACAUAUUCUAUUAAAAUACCUUCUAGUAAACUACAACUUUUCUUUGAGAAGUUCACAGCCAUGAUGUAGGCCCCUUUCCCCUCUCCCUAAUUGCCUUUUUUUUCUAUUUUCUUUUUUAUUUGUUUAUUUUCUUUGAGACAGAGUCUCACUGUGUACCUCUGGCUAGAGUGGAACUUCCUAUGUAGACUAGGCUGGGCUGUAAAAUUCACAGAGACUCUCCUGCCUCUGCCUCCCAAGAGUCAAGAUUAAAGGCUUGACCACCACAACCACCUUCCUAGUUUUAAUAAACUCCUACUACGCUUCAUACUGGCUGGUCCUGAAAUUCUUUUCUGCUUUGAAACUGAUCGUCCAGUUUUACCUGAGCUGAGGUCCCUAAAAUAUUAAAGGAACUCCUCAAGCCGCAGCAGGUGACGGUGGGGCUGUAUCUCUGUCUCUACCUUUAGUGCCAUCAGCACUCACUCCACUAGGAAUACCUUGCCCAUUUCCACUUGCCAACACCUAGCUUCUCCUAACCCACUAGCUUCUCCAGAACACCCUUCCCUCCUCUUCCGUUUCUGCCAGGUCCCAGCCUGGUAGAGGCUGUUAGUUGCCCAUCUAGCCCUGUAUUCCCUUCCUUACCAUGUGUUUUCCCAGUGGGUCUUCAUAGUGUUCUUCCUAUACCUGGUACUCAACAUGAUGGAGCUUCUAAUCAGCCUAGCCAGGGGACAUAAAGUAAUCAAGUAACCACACAGAGAACUGCACAUUUUAUCAGGGACAUGAGCUGCUGAGGAGUGGAACCCGUAGCCCAGACAGAGAGUAUAACCAGGGAAUUACCCGAGCCACUCCAAGCAGGGAAACCUCCUUCAAGGAAAUGUCACUGAGGUGAGAGCCUAGGGAGGAUCCAGGAAAGUUAAUCUGGGGAAGAGGUGAAGGAAAGAUAUUUCGCAGAGGGCGGGGUUCAUGGGAAAGCCUCUUGUCAACAUCUCCUCUGUUGCUGUCUUCUACCUGAAGCGUUCACUGUGAUCUCUUUGAGGCCAUUUGCUUCUGGUUUUAUCUACACUCAGCCUACGGACUGUUCUUGUAGGGACUCAAGAAACCCCUAAGCUGAGUUACAUUGCACUGAACCCUCGGUCUCCAGUCAGGACACAAGCAGCCAGCUAAGCCUUCAUUGCCUUUCUGAGCUUAGUCACAGGGCACAGGGAACUUCUCACUAGCUGCCUCCAUCACAAGCCACACACAGCCCUCAAGAGACAUGUGCAGACUCAGCCCCUCUGAGCCACCACAGGUGUCAUCUGUGGCUCACAAUAAUAAUUGCCAGGGCAUUACAAGAAGGAACUGAGGGCAGGGCCAGAGCAGAGAGCACUUGCUAGACAUUGUCCUUGCAAAGAGUGACUAGAGGAUGCCAUCUACUCUGGUGACCCACAUAGAAGAUCAACUUCAGCUUUGAGAAGUCCUCAGACCCUAACAGGCAAAAUCCUCACCUCAAGGCUACAGGGUCAGAGACAGAGCUCAGCGUCCCAGGACACAGGGAGACACUAAGGCUCCCAUUCAAGUCAGAACCAUCCAGAUCAUGAGUGUUUAGGCUUUGUAUUUGACAAGAUGACUGUCGCCUAAAAAGGUGUGCUUUAGGGCAUCAGGGAGCCUCAAAUAA
ensembl:lncRNA